UGGGAACAUGCCCUGCUUCAUCACAACCUGUCCUGGUUUAUUGCAUUUGGCAACUUUCAAGCAUCUGGUUGCAUGGUGAUGGUUAUUGAUUCUCGAUGUUCUGAUUUCGUUCAUGUUCCUCUUAGCUUUGGCAGUAUGACGUAGGAAAUAAUGUCAUUGAGGCACACUUGUGGAAGGAGCUGACAGAAACUGCACUAGCGGGGAAGAGGACCCUCUUGUUCACCUCCAAGACUUGGAAAAGCCCAUCAGCAACAGACUCCCAUUCAGGGAAAAUUAAAUGACAGGGAGGAGAGAACUUGGUGAGUUUCAGCUGGUGGAGUUUCAUGCUGGUUGUUCUACUGGACUAGAGCGGGUUUGACCUUGUCUGAGGAACAGACAGAGGGGACACGCGCCCUAAUCAACUGUCAUUGGCUAACUUCAGUGUGACAGCACAAUGGCAGCCAUGGAGAUAGUCCCCUGGUGUUCAUCUUGCUUCCAGCUUUGUAGCUACAGAAUUAAAGAUGGCAGCUGAAAUUCACUUUGUCUUUGUAUGGACAGUGGCUUGGAAAACUGAAUCACUGGCUAGAAACCUUAGUCAUUUCCAUAAACAUUGAUAACCUUGUAGGAUUCUCUUAUGACAAAUUAUUAAACUGUAGCAGGAAAUACAUUUCAAGCACCUGACGCUGUAUUGCUUUUUCAGGUGAGAUGGUACCUAUAUUCUUCUAGCUCCUACUCCCAAAAUGCCAUUGGAUUGGAGGGAUCUCUUUGAUUCUGAUGGGGCCAGUCGUUGUCUUCGGGUUAAAGUCUGUUUUGAAGUUGUCAUUUUAAGAGGUCUUCAAGCAAUCCUGGCCCAUUUAAGAAUUUUUCCUGGCUCAUGACUUGUUAGUCAACUAAGGAAGACACUCUCCUCACCAAGGAUGUCAGAGGCUAUGAUCUGCGUGCUCUGUAUGUCGUGUCAUUCCCUAUGGCUCCACUGCUAUACAAGGUAGCAUGGUAAAGUGGAUUAUGGGACUCCACCCUUUGAAAGGGAGCAGGCUUGGGAAACCUUAUAAAAGUGAAAUUGAUUUUAAGUGGCUAUCUUUUGAGAGGGAAAUGCAAAACAGAGAGCAGCUUCCACUGCUCUAGAGCUCAGGAGAACUCAUUAAUAUUUCAUGGAUUUUGCAGCCAUGGAGGCAAAAUUAGGCUUAGAUAGCUGUGAGUAAGUAGGGGUUCAUGGGAUCUAUCCUCUGGCAAUUCCUUUUUAUGGCAAGAAUCCAGUAUCAGCUCAGGCAACCACUAUAAUUAUGCAACAAACGGUUAAAAGACUUUUUUUUUUCUACUGAGGGGUCAGUUGAAAUCUGUUCCACUGUUUAUACGUUAAAAAAAACAACAAAACCAUACAAAAACAACAACAACAAAACCCAACACCUUGAUGCUCUGUACCUUUUGCUAAAGCCAGGUUUAGCACCUGAAUUGUUUUGAGUUACCUCAGGUUUCAUUUAGCACUUUGAACACUGAGUGCCGGGAGUGGGAAGUAACAUGGAAUGAGAAAUGAAGCUGUUUUGUAGAUAAUAAUUCUGUUAAUAAUUCGUCCUAUUCACAUGGGGCCUUGGUCUUCACAUUUUAAACAACAUAAGGAACCCUGUUGAGCAUGUAUGCAUGAUUUAACUUGUAAUAUUCUUGAUUGUUUUACAAGGUUUGUUAUGGAUGGGAAUGUGUAUGCUACUGGUAUGUUUCUUCCUAUAUUACACUCUGUAUGGCUAAUACUGAAUAGUGAAGGCUGAGUUCACCCUCCCACACUUAGAUUGUGCAUCCUUUCAUGCUGACAUUAUACUAGCUUUAUCUCAGCUCAGAAGUGAUUAAUAUUGGAAACUGCGCAAAAUAUGUUUGGCCAUUUCUGAAUUGUGUAUAUAUGAUAAAUACUUCCCCCCGUAUGUUCCAAACAAAAAGUUUGCACCUGAAUAACUUAGUGGAUGAAGAUAUUAACAUGAACAUUGGUUUGUAUUCAUCUUGUUGAGAUAAAAUAAUUUAAGUUUGGAAAAGCUUGAUUCAUCAUUUUUUAAAGUUGUGUUUCAAGUCGGAAAUUUCACUCGAGCUAGAAUUAUUGUAGUCUGAAUUUGUAUUCAUCUGAAAGCUAGAUUGGGUUAGAAUAAUUGAACUGUUGAACUGCUUUAGCUUUGAGAUCAUCUACAAUUUUAGUUUAGAAGAGUCCUUUAAAAACUUAGCUUUUUUAGGUUAUGCAUACAUAAUAAGAUUAUACCGUUUUCUCCUAUGUUCACAUCCGGUAUCUUUCAUAUACAUAAUUUGGAAAUGGCUGAUACUUAAAAAUGCAGAAUGACUGGCUUGUUCAGUAGGCCUCUUUGACGUAUAAGGAACAAACAAAAUUUCUAUUAAAAUAUCAUUUUUAUAGUUCUAAUGAUACGUGCAUUUUAAGGUUAGAAGUUUCUCAAAUGUAUGGUAGAGUUUUACUCUCCGGUUUUCUUAGUUUCCAAACCAUCCAAAUGUUGAGUUGGCACAGAAUUUGAGAUGAUUCAGGGCAUAAAGAUACUAUGGUUAAUAGGGAUGUAAAAUACUAAACGGUUAAAUGGGUAAGCAUUAGACUUACCAGUUAACCACCCUAAUCGUGAACCCCCAGCCGCGCCGGCCGGCCAGCCAGCCGGACCAGCGCCAGGAUGGAUGGACAGAGCAACCCCAGACCGAGCCCCAGGUCAGACGGCCAGAAAAACCCCAGCCCCUCUCCCUUUAAUCAGUUAACCGAUUAAACAACAUAAUUUUAGUAAUUUAUUCUGUUAACUUUUAAAACAGAUAUUUACAUUCUUAAUAGUUAAGAGCAGUUUUGAGGCACGUUGGCGAAGGACAUCCUGGCUUUAGGAUUGUACUGUUAAGGACAUAGUGUUCUGGAAGCAUCAAAUGCAGUUGAUCUAGAGCUAAGAAUUUAAAAACUCCUUUGUCAGUCUUUCAUAAUUCAUAGAUUCAAAGACUGUAAAGCUAGAAGGGGUCAUUAUGGUGAUUGUCUGACUUCCUGCAUAAGAUAAACCAGAGAACCUGACCCAGUAAUUCCUGCAACAAGCCUAUGACUUCUGGCUAAGCUAGAGCAUAUCUUUUAGAAAGAGAUCAGAUCUUGAUUUAAAGAUCACCAGUGAUAGAGAAUCUAGGUAAGUUGUGCCAAUAGUUAAUUAUAUUCACUGUUAAAUUUUUUUCACAGUAUUUCUAAUCUGAAUUUGUCUAGCUUCAGUUUUCAGGCAUUGGAUUUUGCUGUGCCUUUGUUUGCUAGAUUAAAGAGCCCUCUGCUAUCAGAAAUGUUUUUCCCCAUGGUAGGUACUUAUUGACUGCAGUCAAGUCACCUCUUAAGCUUCUUUUGGAUAAACUAAAUAGAUUGUUUCUUUAGUCUCAGGUAGGUUUUCCAGACAUUAAAUCAUUAUUGUAUCUUGUGGUGGGAUGCCUGUCCCACUCUUGGUGAAUAGGUUUUAAUGUGGGCCUGAGGCCAAUUAACUGAACUGCUUGCACCUGGAGUGUGGGCCAGGCCUCAGUUAAUGAUGAAAUCCAGUUGGGGAGGGGCUGGGUGGAGCAGAAAGGGAUUGCAAGGAAAGAGGGAGGAAUUCUGCAGUUGUUCUCCUAGUAGUAGGGAGUGAAGAGACCUGUAGGGGGCAGGAAGGCUCUGGCAGGGUGAGGACAAAGUCUGGGGAAAGGCUUGAUAAGAAGUAGUCCAGGGAGGUGGCAGCAGGAAGUCUGGCAGGAUGAACCUUGACUGCCUGUCUUAGGAAUCUCGGACUGGAACCCAGUGUAGAGAGCGAGCCUGAGUUCACCUACCAGCACUAGUAAGAUGGCAUGAAGCUCCUGGAAAGCGGAUAUGGACUACUGGAAGCCCUGAGAAAAGGCCAGACCAUGAGACCAGAAUGGAGGGUGGCACACUAGAUGGAGGGAUCAGAUAUUUGUUUUUAUUGGACUUUCCGUUAUCCCAGAAAGGGAAAGACAAUGGUCACCUUGUCCAAGGGCUGAGUCACAAGAAGAGAGAUUGCUGCAGGACAGAGUGACUGUCGGCAUAAGCACGGGGUGCUAGAUGAUGAAAGAGCGGCCACAUCCAGCCCCAAGGGGUGCCCUACUGGUGAGUCCAUUUUUCCACAUAGCUCUUUUCUGAAACCUUUCCAAUUUCCCCCCAUAACUUUUAAAAUUUGGAGACCAGAAAAGGACACAGUAUUCCAGUAAUGGUCUCACUAAUGUUGUACAGUAUGGUAAUACCACCUCCUUGCUUCUACUAAAUAUUUCCCUGCAUAUACAUCCAAAGGUUUUAUUAGCUUUUUUUAGCCAUUGCAUUCAUCAGGAGCUUGUGUUUAUCUGUUUAUGCACCAUGAUCCCAUGUUCCUUAUCAGAGCAUUACUUACCAGACACCCUUGUAAGUGUGACCUACAUUCUUUAUCCCUAGAUGUAUGGUCUUACAUUUGACUAUGGUGUUACUAAAGGUUUUACAGUGUAUUGAAACACAUAUUCAAAUGAGCUCAGUUUAUCAAGGUAUCCAGAUUAUUUGUUUAAAACAAUGGAAUUUAAACAUUUGUUUAAGUGCUUUCCUGGAGAGUUAGGCACAUACUUUCCUGAAUCUGGGCCUAGGUGAUUUCCUGAAUUGGGAUGCUUUCCUGAAUCAGGGCCCCUGUGCUUACUUUGGCUAAAAAAGAAACAGAACCACAUUUUUAAAUGAGAAGGCUUGAAGAAUAUUUGCAUAGUUGGAAGGAAUACAAAAGACAGCAGUGGGUUUACUGUUUGUUUUAGCACGAAGAAGAGAGAGGAGAACAGUGAAUGAUAUUGUGCAGUGGUUCUCGACCUGGGGAGCAUGCAUUCCUGGGUGUACAGGGUCUUCCAGGGGGUACAUCAACUUAUCUAAAUAUUUGCCUAGUUUUAGAACAGGCUACAUUAAAAGCACUCAU